UAGGUGCCUGGAGUUAAAUUCAAGCAAGUGGUAGGAAGAAGAUCUCACAUACUUCUCCCUCUCAAUCUCCAAGUUUCUAGAGCUAAUUUAACAUGUGAUUCAAUGGACUGAAAGGAUUCUUUCCCUGCUUCCUCACAUGAACAGCACCAACGGGCAGGUUGGAGGGCUGCCAUCAGCAGAGUUUAAUGAGCUGUUUCUGCCAAAGGAGGGUGUCACUUGGGAAAACCACACUGUGUGACCUGACUCCCAACCACAGACGCUUCUACAUAGAAGUAUUCAGAUAAUGGGUGGCAUUGAAGGAGAAAGCCAUGGAGAGCCACAUGCAGCCUCCGGGCUGGAGACUGGAGAAUGCUUACAACUAAAGAAAGAAGCCCUAACAGAUGUCUCAGCAGUCAGACAAUGGUGUACUGGAGAGCUUUAUGUCCAUUUUGUGCCAGAGAAAGCUGAGGCUUCAUGGAAGAAGAUAAUGACCUGAAGCCCAUGUAGCUGUCCAGAGCUGAAAUCAAUGCCAAGCAAGCUCAAAGGUUUGGGCCUCAUGAUUAGACACCUCACUUCGCUUUGCUUACCUGCCAAAUCCUGUAAGUGUGAGCUACACUUCAUGUUUGUUUCCCAUAAAUACUUCCUUAUUGAUAAUGUCAAUAAAGUAAAUUUCAUCACCCA